GAGCAGCGUCAGUUUUGGAAAUGUCACAUUUUAUAUUUGUGUCAGUUUUUAGUUAAGUAAAUUGGAAAAUUACAAGCGGUGUGUAUUUCAGUAUGCUAACGUGACGUUUUUCAGCAGGUUUCAUUUGAUUUUAUGAAGCAGAAUUAGUUAACACUGAAAUCAGCCCCUCGACAGCAGUUCUACUAAAUGUCCACACGAGGGCAGCAUAGGAUAGGAAAUGAAAGCUAAAGCCUUGUCUGUCUCCCUGAAGUUCGCUACCAAUUGUAAACAGCAGAGGACAGCUCAGCCGGAGGCAUGUGUCUGUGUGAAACGACUUUAUUUCAUGUGAUAAGUUUGUGGAAGAAGGAUGCCAUGUUUGGAGGCGUUUGCUAUUGUUUUACACAGACUACGAGGGACAGCGCUCGUUAAACCAGGUCUGUGAGGAUGAGAAGGUCUCCACAGUCUGGAGUCUGGUCUCUGACAGGCUCAACAUACCUGUCAAUCAACAGGGACUCCUCUACAAAGGCAAGGCGCUGGCAGGAUUACGAGCGGAGGCUGCGCUUGUUGAGCCUGGAUGAUAUGGAGAGGCUGGCGACCCGCAUGCUUCACCCUGAGGCUGUGGAGUGCAUG